rfam:Shigella dysenteriae Sd197, complete genome.
ACACCUCAUAAAACGGGUGUCGGGAUUGCUACCCCGCUGACAAUCGAGGCGAUACAGACGCGCCAGCGUCUUUUUU